rnacentral:rRNA from 1 species
CAGGCUUAACACAUGCAAGUCGAGGGGUAACAUUGGAGCUUGCUUCAGAUGACGACCGGCGCACGGGUGCGUAACGCGUAUAGAACCUACCUUUUACUGAGGGAUACCCUUUGGGAACGAAGAAUAAUACUUCAUAGUAUUUUAGAUUGGCAUCAAUUUAGAAUUAAAGAUUACGGUAAGAGAUGGCUAUGCGUCCUAUUAGCUUGUUGGUAAGGUAACGGCUUACCAAGGCAACGAUAGGUAGGGGCCCUGAGAGGGGGAUCCCCCACACUGGUACUGAGACACGGACCAGACUCCUACGGGAGGCAGCAGUGAGGAAUAUUGGACAAUGGAGGCAACUCUGAUCCAGCCAUGCCGCGUGCAGGAAGACUGCCCUAUGGGUUGUAAACUGCUUUCAUAGAGGAAGAAACACUGGUACGUGUACCAGCUUGACGGUACUCUACGAAUAAGGACCGGCUAACUCCGUGCCAGCAGCCGCGGUAAUACGGAGGGUCCAAGCGUUAUCCGGAAUCAUUGGGUUUAAAGGGUUCGUAGGCGGGUCAAUUAAGUCAGAGGUGAAAUCUUGCAGCUUAACUGUAAAAAUUGCCUUUGAUACUGUUGACCUUGAAAUUACUGUGAAGUGGGUUAGAAUAUGUAGUGUAGCGGUGAAAAUGCUUGGAGAUUACAUAGAAUACCGAUUGCGAAGGCAGAUCACUAACAGUAUAUUGACGCUGAUGAACGAAAGCGUAGGUAGCGAACGGGAUUAGAUACCCCGGUAGUCUACGCCGUAAACGAUGGAUACUAGCUGUUCGACCGCAAGGUUGAGUGGCUAAGCGAAAGUGAUAAGUAUCCCACCUGGGGAGUACGUUCGCAAGAAUGAAACUCAAAGGAAUUGACGGGGGCCCGCACAAGCGGUGGAGCAUGUGGUUUAAUUCGAUGAUACGCGAGGAACCUUACCAGGGCUUAAAUGUAGAUUGCAUAGAGUGGAGACAUUCUUUUCUUCGGACUAUCUACAAGGUGCUGCAUGGUUGUCGUCAGCUCGUGCCGUGAGGUGU